AGUGAACGCUGGCGGUAGGCCUAACACAUGCAAGUCGAACGGCAGCACAGUAAGAGCUUGCUCUUACGGGUGGCGAGUGGCGGACGGGUGAGGAAUACAUCGGAAUCUACUUUUUCGUGGGGGAUAACGUAGGGAAACUUACGCUAAUACCGCAUACGACCUACGGGUGAAAGCAGGGGAUCUUCGGACCUUGCGCGAUUGAAUGAGCCGAUGUCGGAUUAGCUAGUUGGCGGGGUAAAGGCGCACCAAGGCGACGAUCCGUAGCUGGUCUGAGAGGAUGAUCAGCCACACUGGAACUGAGACACGGUCCAGACUCCUACGGGAGGCAGCAGUGGGGAAUAUUGGACAAUGGGCGCAAGCCUGAUCCAGCCAUACCGCGUGGGUGAAGAAGGCCUUCGGGUUGUAAAGCCCUUUUGUUGGGAAAGAAAAGCAGCAGGUUAAGACCCCGCUGUUCUGACGGUACCCAAAGAAUAAGCACCGGCUAACUUCGU
rnacentral:rRNA from 1 species